ensembl:lncRNA
UUUUAAAUGUAGAACAGAUAGAAUAGAAGAGAUAUCCCCUUAGGGGUCAUAUCUAGAGAUUGGGUGGUCUGGGGGUUACCAUGACGACGACUCAUCUCUUCCUGGACCCGAGGAUACGACAGAGACGAGAGAGGAGGACGGUGUUGUGUAGCGUCUGUCUGUUUCCCCUGAGGACGGAUGAUGAACCCAUACAGAUAACUGCCUGUAGAAAACAUUUACAAUAUCAGUAAAGAGGGGCAGGUUGGAGACCACAGGAAGUUACAGAAGCCAGGAUAUGUCAUCACUCCAGAGUUAGGAGGCUGUGAGCCUUCAGACACAUCCCUGCUUACAGGAACACUCUGAGGUCGGUCCGCUACAGUUUUGACGUCAUGGCGCCUGAGUGGCUCACACUGAUGUCUGCGCUGCUGGCGUCUGCGACCGCAGCUGAUGGAGGAGGUGUGCGCCGCUGUGUGGAGGUGCGGGCGUCCAGCCAGCUAGUGCCCGUGGG